GUGCUCACUUGGGCAGCACAAAUACCAAAAUUGGAACGAUGCAGAGAUUAGCAUGGCCCCUGCGCAAGGAUGACACUCGGAUUCAUGCAGCAUUCCGUAUUUUU